CUUACCAGGUCUUGACAUCCUCUGAAAACCCUAGAGAUAGGGCUUCUCCUUCGGGAGCAGAGUGACAGGUGGUGCAUGGUUGUCGUCAGCUCGUGUCGUGAGAUGUUGGGUUAAGUCCCGCAACGAGCGCAACCCUUGAUCUUAGUUGCCAUCAUUAAGUUGGGCACUCUAAGGUGACUGCCGGUGACAAACCGGAGGAAGGUGGGGAUGACGUCAAAUCAUCAUGCCCCUUAUGACCUGGGCUACACACGUGCUACAAUGGACGGUACAAAGAGCUGCAAGACCGCGAGGUGGAGCUAAUCUCAUAAAACCGUUCUCAGUUCGGAUUGUAGGCUGCAACUCGCCUACAUGAAGCUGGAAUCGCUAGUAAUCGCGGAUCAGCAUGCCGCGGUGAAUACGUUCCCGGGCCUUGUACACACCGCCCGUCACACCACGAGAGUUUGUAACACCCGAAGUCGGUGGGGUAACCUUUU
rnacentral:rRNA from 2 species